UACAGAGGGUGCAAGCGUUAAUCGGAAUUACUGGGCGUAAAGCGUGCGUAGACGGUUAUGUAAGUCAGGUGUGAAAGCCCCGGGCUCAACCUGGGAAUUGCAUUUGAGACUGCAUAGCUAGGGUGCGGAAGAGGGAAGCGGAAUUUCCGGUGUAGCGGUGAAAUGCGUAGAUAUCGGAAGGAACACCGGUGGCGAAGGCGGCCCACUGGAUCGGUACUGACGCCUGAGGUGCGAAAGCGUGGGGAGCAAACAGG
rnacentral:rRNA from 1 species